rnacentral:rRNA from 1 species
UACGGAAGGCAGCAGUGGGGAAUAUUGCACAAUGGGCGAAAGCCUGAUGCAGCUAUGCCGCGUGUAUGAAGAAGGCCUUAGGGUUGUAAAGUACUUUCAUCGGGGAGGAAAAACAAAACUAAUAAUUUUAUUUCUUGACGUUACCCGAAAAAGAAGCACCGGCUAACUCCGUGCCAGCAGCCGCGGUAAUACGGAGGGUGCUAGCGUUAAUCAGAAUUACUGGGCGUAAAGAGCACGUAGGUGGUUUUUUUAAGUCAGAUGUGAAAUCCCUGGGCUUAACCUGGAACUGCAUUUUGAAACUGAAAUACUAGAGUAUCGUAGAGGGAGGUAGAAUUCUAGGUGUAGCGGUGAAAUGCGUAGAUAUCUGGAGGAAUACCUGUGGCGAAAGCGGCCUCCUAAACGAAUACUGACACUGAGGUGCGAAAGCGUGGGGAGCGAAACAGGGAUUAGAUACCCGU